rnacentral:rRNA from 1 species
CUCAGGAUGAACGCUGGCGGCGUGCCUAAUACAUGCAAGUCGAGCGAACGGACGAGGAGCUUGCUCCUUUGAAGUUAGCGGCGGACGGGUGAGUAACACGUGGGUAACCUACCUAUAAGACUGGAAUAACUCCGGGAAACCGGGGCUAAUGCCGGAUAACAUGUUGAACCGCAUGGUUCAACAGUGAAAGACGGUCUUGCUGUCACUUAUAGAUGGACCCGCGCCGUAUUAGCUAGUUGGUGGGGUAACGGCCUACCAAGGCGACGAUACGUAGCCGACCUGAGAGGGUGAUCGGCCACACUGGAACUGAGACACGGUCCAGACUCCUACGGGAGGCAGCAGUAGGGAAUCUUCCGCAAUGGGCGAAAGCCUGACGGAGCAACGCCGCGUGAGUGAUGAAGGUCUUCGGAUCGUAAAGCUCUGUUGUUAGGGAAGAACAAAUGUGUAAGUAACUGUGCACGUCUUGACGGUACCUAACCAGAAAGCCACGGCUAACUACGUGCCAGCAGCCGCGGUAAUACGUAGGUGGCAAGCGUUAUCCGGAAUUAUUGGGCGUAAAGCGCGCGUAGGCGGUUUUUUAAGUCUGAUGUGAAAGCCCACGGCUCAACCGUGGAGGGUCAUUGGAAACUGGAAAACUUGAGUGCAGAAGAGGAAAGUGGAAUUCCAUGUGUAGCGGUGAAAUGCGCAGAGAUAUGGAGGAACACCAGUGGCGAAGGCGGCUUUCUGGUCUGCAACUGACGCUGAUGUGCGAAAGCGUGGGGAUCAAACAGG